GACGAACGCUGGCGGCGUGCUUAACACAUGCAAGUCGAACGGAAAGGCCCUGCUUUUGUGGGGUGCUCGAGUGGCGAAAGGGUGAGUAACACGUGAGUAACCUGCCCUUGACUUUGGGAUAACUUCAGGAAACUGGAGCUAAUACCGGAUAGGAGCUCCUGCUGCAUGGUGGGGGUUGGAAAGUUUCGGCGGUUGGGGAUGGACUCGCGGCUUAUCAGCUUGUUGGUGGGGUAGUGGCUUACCAAGGCUUUGACGGGUAGCCGGCCUGAGAGGGUGACCGGCCACAUUGGGACUGAGAUACGGCCCAGACUCCUACGGGAGGCAGCAGUGGGGAAUAUUGCACAAUGGGCGGAAGCCUGAUGCAGCAACGCCGCGUGCGGGAUGACGGCCUUCGGGUUGUAAACCGCUUUCGCCUGUGACGAAGCGUGAGUGACGGUAAUGGGUAAAGAAGCACCGGCUAACUACGUG
rnacentral:rRNA from 1 species